CCCGCACAAGCGGUGGAGCAUGUGGUUUAAUUCGACGCAACGCGAAGAACCUUACCUGGGCUUGACAUCCCGAUCGUACCUGCUGGAAACAGCGGGGUCAGUUCGGCUGGAUCGGAGACAGGUGCUGCAUGGCUGUCGUCAGCUCGUGUCGUGAGAUGUUGGGUUAAGUCCCGCAACGAGCGCAACCCUUGUCCUUAGUUGCCAUCAUUUAGUUGGGCACUCUAAGGGGACUGCCGGUGUUAAACCGGAGGAAGGUGGGGAUGAUGUCAAGUCAGCAUGGCCUUUAUAUCCAGGGCUACACACACGCUACAAUGGUCGGUACAGAGGGCAGCAAAGUCGCGAGGCGGAGCGAAUCCUUAAAGCCGGUCUCAGUUCAGAUUGCAGGCUGCAACCCGCCUGCAUGAAGUUGGAGUUGCUAGUAACCGCAGGUCAGCAAUACUGCGGUGAAUACGUUCCCGGGCCUU
rnacentral:rRNA from 1 species